rnacentral:rRNA from 1 species
AUACGGAGGGUGCAAGCGUUACUCGGAAUCGCUGGGCGUAAAGCGCGCGCAGGCGGCUAUUUAAGUUGGAUGUGAAAGCCUAUGGCUCAACCAUAGAACUGCAUCCAAAACUAUUUAGCUAGAGUGUGGGAGAGGAAGAUGGAAUUAGUUGUGUAGGGGUAAAAUCCGUAGAGAUAACUAGGAAUACCAAAGGCGAAGGCAAUCUUCUGGAACACUUCUGACGCUGAGGCGCGAAAGCGUCGGGAGCAAACAGGAUUAGAAACCCUAGUAGUCC